CGCGUAGGCGGUUUGUUAAGUCGGAUGUAAAAGCCCCGGGCUCAACCUGGGAAUUGCACCCGAUACUGGCCGACUGGAGUGCGAGAGAGGGAGGUAGAAUUCCACGUGUAGCGGUGAAAUGCGUAGAUAUGUGGAGGAAUACCGGUGGCGAAGGCGGCCUCCUGGCUCGACACUGACGCUGAGGUGCGAAAGCGUGGGGAGCAAACA
rnacentral:rRNA from 1 species